rnacentral:lncRNA from 1 species
GGCUGAACCCAAUGGAUGUCUCUAUGUGGGGCGUUGGGGGGACACUGCGAUGGGUCUGACCCCAAAAUCGGUGGGGUUGGGGUUGGAGGGGGAUUGGAGACCCCAAAGGUGGGGGUGGGGUGGGCUGGGAGCCAAAAAGUGACCCCAUGUUGGGCGCAGAUGAGGGUUGGGGGCACCACGAUGCGUCUGCAGGGGGGCUGAACCCUAUGGAUGUCUCUGUGUGGGGUGGUGGGGGGAUACCACGAUGGGUCUGACCCCAAAAUCAGUGGGGUUGGGGUUGGAGGGGGGGUUGGAGACCCCAAAGGUGGGGGUUGGGGGGGGGGUGGGAGCCGAACAGUGACCCCACGUUGGAUGGGGAUCGUUGAGAUGAGGGUUGGGGGCACCACGAUAAGUCUGCAGGGGGGGCUGACCCCUAUGGAUGUCUCUAUGUGGGGUUUUGGGGGGAUAUCAUGGUGGGUCCGACCCCCAAAAUCAGUGGGGUUGGAGUAGGAGGGGGUCCAGAAGACCCCAAAGGUGGGGGUGGGACCCAAAAAUGACCCCAUGUUGGGCGCAGAUGAGGGUUGGGGGCACCACGAUGCGUCUGCAGGGGGGCUGAACCCUAUGGAUGUCUCUGUGUAGGGUUUUGGGGGGACAACGCAAUGGUCUGACCCCAAAAUCAUUGGGGUUGGGGGGGGGUGGGAGCCAAAAAGUGACCCCAUGUUGGGUGCAGAUGAGGGUUGGGGGCACCACGAUGCGUCUGCAGGGGGGGCUGACCCGGCUGACC